rnacentral:rRNA from 1 species
UACGGAGGGGGCUAGCGUUGUUCGGAAUUACUGGGCGUAAAGCGCACGUAGGCGGCUUUGUAAGUUAGAGGUGAAAGCCCGGGGCUCAACCCCGGAAUUGCCUUUAAGACUGCAUCGCUUGAAUCCAGGAGAAGUGAGUGGAAUUCCGAAUGUAGAGGUGUAAUUCGUAGAUAUUGGGAAGAACACCGGUGGCGAAGGCGGCUCACUGGCUCGUAUCUGACGCUCAGGCGCGACAGCGUGGGGAUCAAACAGG